rnacentral:ncRNA from 18 species
AUAACGCUAAAAAAACGGUGCUUUUGGUUUUGCGUUUGCAAAAUACAAAAGGUAAAAGGGAAACCAGUGCAAUUCUGGUACGAUCUCGUCACUGUAAUAGGGGAGUGUUCCGUAAUAGAUGUCACUGUCGAACGAUGGGAAGACGACGGAAUCAUGUUGAGCCUUGAGUCAGGAAACCUGCCGUUUUUUGUACAGGAAUC